AUUGAACGCUGGCGGCAGGCCUAACACAUGCAAGUCGAACGAGUGGCGGACGGGUGAGUAAUGUCUGGGAAACUGCCUGAUGGAGGGGGAUCACUACUGGGAACGGUAGCUAAUACCGCAUACCAUCAGAUUUGCCCAGAUGGGAUUAGCUUGUUGGUGGGGUAACGGCUCACCAAGGCGACGAUCCCUAGCUGGUCUGAGAGGAGGACGAGCCACACUGGACCUGAGACACGGUCCAGCCGCCUACGGGAGGAAGCAGGGGGGAACAUUGCACAAUGGGGGCAAGCCGGAUGCAGCCAUGCCGCGGGUAUGAAGAAGGCCUUCGGUUUUUAAAGUACUUUCAGCGGGGCGGCGUUACCCGAAGAAGAAGCACCGGCUAACUCCGUGCCAGCAGCCGCGGUAAUAC
rnacentral:rRNA from 1 species